AAAACCCCAAAAUUCCUCAUCCAGGUGUGUCCAGGAUCUCCUGGGGACAGGUGGAACAGGUCAGGAGCACACCAGGAACCAUCUGAGAUCCACCAGGAACCAUCUGAGAUCCACCAGGGACCACCUGGGACCUCCAAAAGCCACCCAAAACCCACCCAGAUCCAUCAAAACCCCAAAAUUCCUCAUCCAGGUGUGUCCAGGUGUGUCCAGGUGGUGGCCAGGAUCUCCUGGAGACAGGUGAGAAGAAUCUGGGACCACCUGGAACCACCUGGAACCACCUGAGAUGCCUCCAGGACCAGGAGAACCCCAAAAUUCCUCAUCCAGGUGUGGCCAGGAUUGGUG